UGUGUGUGAACUAACAUUGAUGCCCAGAUUCCUACAGCACCAUCGUGUCCCAUCACAGAGGGGCUUCCAGAGGCCAGGACACAUUAUAGCUCACAAUCCCGUAGUCCCAGCCCUGUUUAGUUCCCUAUUCCUUGAGUGCAUAAUGGCAUUGAUGCACUGGCAGCUGGAGUGACCCCCACACCGCGUCUCUAACCUGUGGAUUAAUGGCUCUUAUUGCACUGAAGGCUAAAGGGAAACCUCUGAAACUGCCCCUAUCCCAACCGAAGCGAUAUUACGUCCCAGGGCAGGUCUUGGAGGUUAUUGCAGGUAUUGUGGGGGGUAGCACCACCAUUAGAGAGCUGUAGGAGGUGGGAUAGUGCUGGAGUUGCCUAUUAUCUCCGUGUAUUCUGUCCUUGCAGAAGCCCAAUAGGACCUAAAGAAUGAACAGGAUUACUUCAGACUUGACCAAGUAGUGGUCUUGAUUGCAGCUGCCAUGCUGGCUGGAUAUCACUGCUAGCAGAAGUUAAUGAGGCUGCAGGCCAAUGGUGUGCAGCCGAGGAUUUGCUGAGUGCAUUCCUUUCCAGCUAGAAAGUGGAUAUGGAGUUAUUCACAUUCAUACCACAUUUAUUUACACUUUCCCUGAGAGCUAUUAUAACUCUUCUGUCAUCUGUAACAUAGUCUUAAGAGAUGCCGGACAUUCUACAGAAUAUUAAAUCUGUUCAUUUCAUUGGCAACAUCAUAGAUUGGGAUGGAUGAGAAAGAAGGUGGAAAGUAUGCUGGAGGUCUUGGUAAAACACAUGCACCCCAGAAAGAGGAGGAUAAAUCUUACAGAAAUUUAGGAGUGGCAACUGCAGUGAAAUUUUAUGGGUCCAGUGGCUAGGUGCAUGCAGAGAUAUUUCUUCCAAGUAAAAACAAAAGAAAACAGAAAAAAAAACCCGUUGCAUCUUUCAUCUUCAGUGAGAAAAAAAAAAAAAAGAGAGAGAAGCGGACUGCCUGGUGAAUCUCUUUGGGUUCUGACAACACCACAUUCCACAUCUAGGUAUAUCAUUUUGGCCACAUUUUGGGUGACAUAGGAGGAUGCCAGAUUCAAGUGGAGCCUACACAGGAAAGGACUCUGCAGCAGAUCCAGGCUGUGGUGCAGGCAGCCACCAUCCCUCAGACCCCCUGGUGCUGGAGGUGGCAGGGCUGGGGAAAGAUGCAGGAUGGAGUGAACUGAGCAUCAGUGGGGAAAGUCACAAUGGAGGGCCUGGGAUUCUGGAGUAAGUUCAUGUCAUCCACAGCAGAAAUAUAUGCCCCCUUCUCGAAGCAACUUUUAGUGUUGCUGGCCCUGAUCAGAUAGAAUUCUUGACCACAGGACACUGAGAACCACGUAAUUCCAAGUGGUUGUAUGAAUUGGCUUCUGUGUGACCUACAGAGUUAUAGAUUGGACAGGCCCAACAGUGUCCAUCAUGAGAUGGAAAUGGUCCAUGUGGAAUGAGCCCAAACCCCAAGUUAACACCCCAUCUGCCCAGAAAAUACCUGCCCCUGAGGUGGCACUGAACAACCAAGCAGACAAAUGGAAGUUAGCCAGCCUUCACUGGGGGCCAUCUCAGGCCUUGCAGGGUGGGAACAUGCAUGCAGGAAUCACAAUAGCUCCCUUCAUGUGCCCAUCCUUCCAGGUCACUCAGUGGCCUUGGUCGGUGGGAGUCAGUGCUGCUGGACCCAUAGGUAGCCUCCAAAAGGUGAGACUCCCACCUACCAAGGCCGAACUAGCUGCUGCCACCUCUGAAUAUCCAACUUGUCAGGAUUAGACACCCGUGAUAGGCCCUGAUGUGCCCUGCUUAGGCACUAUUUCUUUAGGUGAUCAAAGUGCCACUAAAUGACACAUUGACCACAUUAAGCCUCAUCAUGGAAGGGCCAGAGAUUCAUCCUCACUGGGACAGAAACUUCCUCCAUGGCAAAGAGAUUCACAGUGUGAGCGAGAUUCAACGUGAGGGGCUUCCUCCGCUGUGAGCUUUGAAAAUGAAGGGGCCAUGUGGCAAAGGAUAUGGCGGGCUCCAGGAAUUGAGAGCAGCUCCACCCCACCUCCACCUGACAGCUGCCCAGGAACAAGGACUACAAUCUCACAACUGCCUGAAACUGAAUUCUGCCACCAAGCUCUGUAUAAGCUUGAAGGAGGACCCCAGCCUCAAGAUGAGGACACAGCUUCGUGAAAUCCUGAACUGAGAAUCAUUCACACCAGGCCUGGAUUUCUCAUUAAGGAAAUGUAGAGAAAUAAAUGGGUGCUGUGUAGA